rnacentral:rRNA from 1 species
GCGAAUACCGGAGAAUGUUAUCACGGGAGACACACGGCGGGUGCUAACGUCCGUCGUGAAGAGGGAAACAACCCAGACCGCCAGCUAAGGUCCCAAAGUCAUGGUUAAGUGGGAAACGAUGUGGGAAGGCCCAGACAGCCAGGAUGUUGGCUUAGAAGCAGCCAUCAUUUAAAGAAAGCGUAAUAGCUCACUGGUCGAGUCGGCCUGCGCGGAAGAUGUAACGGGGCUAAACCAUGCACCGAAGCUGCGGCAGCGACGCUUAUGCGUUGUUGGGUAGGGGAGCGUUCUGUAAGCCUGUGAAGGUGUGCUGUGAGGCAUGCUGGAGGUAUCAGAAGUGCGAAUGCUGACAUAAGUAACGAUAAAGCGGGUGAAAAGCCCGCUCGCCGGAAGACCAAGGGUUCCUGUCCAACGUUAAUCGGGGCAGGGUGAGUCGACCCCUAAGGCGAGGCCGAAAGGCGUAGUCGAUGGGAAACAGGUUAAUAUUCCUGUACUUGGUGUUACUGCGAAGGGG